rnacentral:lncRNA from 1 species
UUGCCCAUAAAAUCACCCUAAACUUGUCUUGCAAGGUAGACUUGGAAGAGAAUUAGAGAUCAGAUUUCAGAAAAAUACAAAAGAAAAGCAAAAAUCUACGGUUUCAUUAAAUUUCACUAAUCUUUUUGCCUGAAAAUUUAGUUCUUCAUUGUGGAGUUUUAAAAUGAUUUGAGUAUUGGUUUUAAUGUCUAAUUUUGAGUCUGCUAGGUUUGGUUCGAGUGGAACUUUUCUCUUUUGGGCUACUGUAUAUCAAUCCUGGGUUUGCAGUUGGGGUUCAUUGAUCCUUGUUGUUGAUUAUUGUUUGUGCUUUGCUGAAUCCCUCAUUUUUCUUUCCUUGUUUCAAUCUCCAGGUACACACUUCUAAUUUUAGGGAUGUAAAAACAUAUCGUGAAGCAUUUUUUAUGGAGAUAUAUUGCUAUUAUGUUCUCUUUUGAUAGAUAUUUUUUAUUUUUUUAUUUACUUCCCAGAUGGUUAUGUUAAUUCCUCUAUUUUAGUAUAUUUAAUAUAAAGCUAUGUUUUCUGAGUAUCUCCAUGGACUUGUAUUAGAGUUAUUGUUAGAGUUGCUGAUUUCCAUGUAUUUGAUUCUUUAAAUUUUAUCGCUGUUAGAGGGAUCAAUUAGGUUGGAUCCCUAAUGUUCUUAUGAACUCAAAUCGCAGGAGUGUGUUGUUAAUUACAAACCUGGUAUGUAUGAAAUUGAGUAUGUAUGUGAAGUAGGAUUUGGGGAAAUUUAUCAGGCCAUCGGGUGUAUUUUUUGCGGAGACACAAAUUUGAAUAUGAUCCUCUGAUGUUGGGCCUGGGCGUUUAUGAGGGAUUUUAAGUCUUGGUAGAGUUUGGAUCUCAUACAUCACAUGUUCAAGUUCUCUUAUGCAAAUCUUGAUUUUGGAUUAUCAAUUUCUGUAACAUGUUAGCCUGGUGUUGUCUAUAUUCCCACAUGAGUUCUUAAGUGUUUAAAAGAUUGUGAGUAAAACUUGGAUUUUAAAAUCAAAUUUGAAGAUCCAGAAAUUUGAUUCAAUUCUUGCACUCGUCAUUUUCAAAAGUUUUUGGCCAUUUAGUUUAUUAAGUUAAUGGGAUUCAAAAAGGAUCUUAUGAUUUACAGAAGUGGUUUGCUUCAUUCCCCGCUCCUCUGCUAGACUUGGGCUCAAAUUGGGCCCAAAGCUUAAAAUCAUUUGAAACAGGAAAAUGAUAGUCCUUGUCAUAUGUGGGUUUUCUAGUUGAUGCCAUUGAGCGCCUAAAUUCAUUUUACUGACUGGCCGAAUUCGUGUUCUUUUAUGACUAUAUCAGUUAUGGACUUCAACGUUUGGGUAACAACAAUUCUAGUAGCGCUUUUAAUUAAUUUAGCAC